rnacentral:rRNA from 1 species
AUGGAAAGCUUGCUGCAUUGGGACUUUGCUCCGGGCCUGGCCCUUGCGGAUCAGGUGAGAAGAAAAUUUGGGUCUACAGUCAAUUUCUCCCCCUCUAGAGACACCAAAGAGUUCUUUUUGGUUGUUUCUUUCUCCUCGGCUUCUUUCCGUCUCUUGGUGGAAGCAGUGGGUAUUGCAUUGCAAUGUUGUCUUUGUGGUAUUGCCUCUGGCUUCAAGGUGUCCCCGGUUACCUCACGAUCUUUUUGCUUCUCGGUUGCUAAUAACAAAGUGGGGCAUUUUAUCUAUGGGCUCAAAGAUCGUGUUUGGCCAGAUUUUGUGUGUCAUUUUGAUCUAUUCAAUGGUCGUUUUGCCAAAGCUCAUACUAUUGAUCACCAUUGGCAUGCUGAUACGGAGUUGGUUGAUAUUACCGAUCGAAGAAUUGCUCUCAAAUCAUCUCUUAAGUUUCUGACCCCGAAGGGCAAGUUGGAUAAUUCUUCUGCGAAGGUUCUUAGCAAAUUUGGGCUUAUUAAGCUGGAUAAUUGGAGUUUUUCGAACAAGAAUGCUCAUGAAGCUUCAUCAUCUUUGUAUCCUAAGCAACAUUUCCAUAUUCAAUUGGGCUCUUUUCCUUCGGUCCAAAAUCCCGAUGUGGUUUUGGGUCUGGACAAUUAUCACAAUGUGUUAUUGGACCAUUACUUGGCUGAGGAGCAAUUUGAGGAAAAUCGGGUCAUUGAAUACCUUGCUUUAGAGAGUUUAAUUGCCCUCUGA